rfam:Camelus ferus unplaced genomic scaffold scaffold320, whole genome shotgun sequence.
GGAGGGUACAGCUCAGGGGUAGAGCGCAUGCUUAGAAUGCACAGGUCCUGGGUUCAAUCCCCAGCACCUCUG